UUCGUGUGAACAGUGGUUGAUCACGAGUUAGUCGGUCCUAAGUUCAAGGCGAAAGCCGAAAAUUUUCAAGUAAAAAAAAUUUUGCAUUAUAUUAUAAACAUAUUUGAAUUAUUAAUAUACUUGAAUAAUUUUGAACGAAAGGGAAUACGGUUCCAAUUCCGUAACCUGUUGAGUAUCCGUUUGUUAUUAAAUAUGGGCCUCGUGCUCAUCCUGGCAACAGGAACGACCAUAAAGAAGCCGUCGAGAGAUAUCGGAAGAGUUUUCUUUUCUGUUUUAUAGCCGUACUACCAUGGAAGUCUUUCGCAGAGAGAUAUGGUAGAUGGGCUAGAAGAGCAUGACAUAUACUGUUGUGUCGAUAUUUUCUCCUCGGACCUUGAAAAUUUAUGGUGGGGACACGCAAACUUCUCAACAGGCCGUACCAAUAUCCGCAGCUGGUCUCCAAGGUGAAGAGUCUCUAGUCGAUAGAAUA
rnacentral:rRNA from 1 species